GACGAACGCUGGCGGCGUGCUUAACACAUGCAAGUCGAACGAUGAACCCGGAGCUUGCUCCGGUGGAUUAGUGGCGAACGGGUGAGUAACUCGUGAGUAACCUGCCCUUGACUCUGGGAUAACUGCGGGAAACUGUAGCUAAUACCGGAUACGACCCUCGGCGGCAUCGCCAGGGGGUGGAAAGAAUUUCGGUCAAGGAUGGACUCGCGGCCUGUCAGCUAGUUGGUGAGGUAACGGCUCACCAAGGCGACGACGGGUAGCCGGCCUGAGAGGGUGAGCGGCCACACUGGGACUGAGACGCGGCCCAGACGCCUACGGGAGGCAGCAGUGGGGAAUAUUGCACAAUGGGCGCAAGCCUGAUGCAGCAACGCCGCGUGAGGGAUGACGGCCUUCGGGUUGUAAACCUCUUUUAGUAGGGAAGAAGCGAAAGUGACGGUACCUGCAGAAAAAGCACCGGCUAACUACGUGCCAGCCGCCGCGGUAA
rnacentral:rRNA from 1 species